UCUCAUUCAAAUCUUUACACUUAACGAUUUGGGCAUCUUCAGAAAAAGCUGGUUGGCCAGAACAGCAGAAAGCAGAGCUCUGGAUUCAGAAGGGGACCCUGCCUCGAUACACAAAGGGAAGAGCCAUCGAAGAAUGGACCCAUUAUCAGUCUCUGUCCUCUCUCUACACCCCCACAUGCUCCCCCACACAUUAAAAAAAAAAGAACGUAAAAUGAA
rnacentral:lncRNA from 1 species